CUCCGUAGGAGCUGCUAUUUGUUUUAUUGGGAUAAGCACCUGGCAAAGAAGGACCAUUCGAAAGGAACUUCUGAGGAAACAAAUCAGAACAGACAUCACUGAGGUUAGAAUUGUACUUCAGAAAAAAAAACAGAUGGGGAAUAAUGUCGGAGCAGAAUGCAUAACCCUCGCUUUGGCAUGCCUGCCACCCCAUUUCCAGCUCUUGGGGUUCAUUAGCAGUGCUGUCCCCAGUGUCCUGGAGCCCCUCUUGGCAUCAUGUUCCAUGAGCACCACCUCUGAGCACCAUCCUGAAGCCUGCAAGACUGCCUUGGGAAUGAUUUCAAGUAAUUACAUACAUGGAUGCAACUUUGCCCAAAGACAUUUUCUAUCCGCAGUGAAUAUUUGCUGAAGGGAUGAGGCUCUGCUAGCCCCCAAUGGAACACACGAUGCUGUAUCUCGCUGGUCAGGGGGAGGCUGCUUAGCUCCUCCACAUCCCAUCUCAAAUGCCUAGAGGAAGCAAAUGGAAUUGAAAAUGCUUUAUUUGAAACUGAGCUGAACACCAUCGUCGGUAUGUUUAAAAGGAGUGGAAUCAAUUUGAUCUAAAAAAAUGGUGAUAAUGUUAUUGGGGGUUAAAGUAUUAUCAAGUCCUUAUCAAAUGCAAUUAGAGAGAGAAUAUUCAUGUUGUGAUAGCACACCUUUAAUCUUAAAAUAUUUCAGAAGCUCAAUAUGUAUGGUUUGUGCUCUGCAUUUGCAGGAAAGUUCCAGCCUAGGUUAAUAAUAUAGUGGCAGUACUUCACAAUGUGCUCCAGUGUACAGAAGUAGCUAUUAAACUGUCAACAGCACUAAAAGAUGAUAUUUUGAUGGCAAUGGAUAGGAACCCCAUCUUCCUGCUUGUGCUACUCAACAUUUCUGUAGCUUUCAAGCACAGUCAACCACAAUUUGUCACUGACUUGCAUACGUGACAUUGGCUGAAUAGGUAGUUUGAGCUACAACUGUGUCAAUCAAUUUUUCAGGCAAAACUUGCAUAGCAUCAAUAGACAGCUGUUCCCUUUUCCUCCUCUGUAGCUCUUGAUUGCUCUCAUUCCUGUUCAUCAUCUACCUGGAGACCUCUAGAGAAGGUGCAGGCCAUGCCAACUUCCUUGCUGAAGCUGUUCGCUGUUAUUGACCUGAAUAAUCCCCUCCACAGCUGCAGCCUGAGAUAUCAUUAUAUACACAGAAUGAAGAUCAAAUUCAGUCUUGGUACAUCCUGAGGGGAUAUGUUUCAAAGGAAUGAGUUGGCCAAUAUCUGACUGGCUGUCUUCUCCUUUCCUGCCCAACCAUUCCCUUAGUAUUGCACAUAUCCUGAAGGAUGUUUUCACCAUUUCAACACCGGGACGCAGCGUUAUUUUGGGUGGAAAUGUUUUAUGUCCAUUGUUAAAAACCCAUCACGGGAAGAUAUGACCUCAGCAGCGAUCUCUGUAUGUGCUAACUUGAAACUCCACUGCACCCACAAGCUGGAACAAAUUCCAGUUCACGCCAGCAUCCAGCAGGUUACCAUAAGUUCUUCUGUCUCUGCU
rnacentral:lncRNA from 7 species